UACGAGAGGCCCAAACGUUAUUCGGAUUUACUGGGCUUAAAGAGUUCGUAGGCGGUUCGGUAAGUGAGGUGUGAAAGCCCUCGGCUCAACCGAGGAAUUGCGCUUCAAACUGCCGGGCUCGAGGGAGAUAGAGGUGAGCGGAACUGAUGGUGGAGCGGUGAAAUGCGUUGAUAUCAUCAGGAACACCAGAGGCGAAGGCGGCUCACUGGGUCUCUUCUGACGCUGAGGAACGAAAGCUAGGGGAGCAAACGGGAUUAGAAACCCCCGUAGUCC
rnacentral:rRNA from 1 species